UGUUGUGUUUGAGGCCUGAAAAUAAGUAAAAUAGGUACAGCGCUGUUUGCGCAUUUCAUUCCUCCCGGUCUGAAUGGUCACAGUGAAUACAGAGUGCUGUUUUUAUGUUUCUUAGGGUUGUGCCACUACUUCUAUAUCGUUUUUUCUCUACCUUUAUAGGGUAUAAUUGGUUCAGGGUUUGCACUGCAAGUAAUCGAGCAAAGGAAAUUGAAACAAAAGACUAGACGAAGAAGACCAGCUGCUGAACUCAUACAGAUUGCAUGGAAAGUUUAUGCAUCUAACCCAGCGCGAGGCUUGACGAAGACAUGGCUGACACAUAUGAAACUACGGGUUUCUAUGGUCAAUAGUCACAGAAAUUCUUUAGAUUUAUCGGCAUUGAAUUCUAGCUACGAAUCAUUCGAAAACAUCCACAUUCGGUAAUUCCUGAUUUAUUACCUAUGGUUUCGAAUUGUUUCUCUAACUAAGCAAGCCACAAAACCGUUUGUUUUAUUACAUUAUGUAACAUAACAUGACUGAAAACUUUCCGUUUAUUAAUCUUCGUCUAGAAACCAAUGAAUAUGCACUUAUACCAUUAUUUGACUGCCUGCAGUUAAGAUUAUGCUCCAUUAAAGAAUCGUAUAGGCGUAAUUUUUUGAGCGUGUCUUCCUAUGGUAAUGGUAACCGCAAGCCAGUUUCUUUGUCUGAGCGAUCAAAAGAAAAUAUCAGGGGGUAAGCACCCAUAGAUUUUUUUUUCAAUUUGCAAGGAAAUCCUGCCUUUGAAUGUCUAUUUGUACUCUAUUUAUCCUUGUAUA